GGCAAAGAUGAAGAGUGCUUUAAAUUUCUGACACCUCUUGUAUGAGAAGAGCCUUCACAAGCUCUUCCUUGAGCAGACAAAGCAACACUCUGAGCC